rnacentral:rRNA from 1 species
AAUGAACGUUGGCGGCGUGGAUUAGGCAUGCAAGUCGAGCGAGAACCCCGCAAGGGGGGACAGCGGCGAAAGGGACAGUAAUGUGUAGAUUAUCUGCCCUCAGGUCCGGGAUAGCUGCGGGAAACUGCAGGUAAUACCGGAUAACAUCUCCGGAUCAAAGGUGUGAUUCCGCCUGAGGAUGAGUCUGCAUCCUAUUAGCUAGUUGGUGGGGUAAUGGCCUACCAAGGCAUUGAUGGGUAGCAGGUGUGAGAGCACGACCUGCGUCAUUGGGACUGAGACACUGUCCAGACACCUACGGGUGGCUGCAGUCGAGAAUCUUCGGCAAUGGGCGCAAGCCUGAACGGGCGACGCCGCGUGUGAGAUGAAGGCCUUCGGGUUGUAAACCACUGUCAGAGGGGAUGAAAUGCAGGUGGGUUCUCCCAUCUGUUUGACAUAGCCUCAGAGGAAGGACGGGCUAAGUUCGUG